rnacentral:lncRNA from 1 species
UCAUUUGGAAUACUUUUGUUCUUGACUCUGCAGACAGUUGUAUAAUAAUAGCUAAUGCAAACUGAGGCAAAAACCAAUUUCCAAGAGGGUUGGGGUAAAAGAUAAAGUGUUUUGGCUGCUUCAGUGGGUUGGAGACCGGAUUUUGAGGAGUGUGACUGAGAAAUGGAGAUUUGAAACUUGUCCCUAGUGUCUCAGGGCUAGAGGUUGGUGAACAUAGGUGACAAGCCCCAGAAGCAAAGUACUCUUAAGGACUAGACUGCUAGAACUUUUGCUUCGUGCAGAAUGGAGAACACAUCAUGACUCUUAAUGUUAAUUUAUUUCGGUUUUGUCCAAAUGCAUGUACAUACACAUGAGCAGAGGACAACCGUAAGUGGUCCUCAGGAGCUAUCCACCUUGUUUCUUUAAGAUGGGAGGCCUUACUAGGACCUGGACUCUGCAAUUAGGCUAUGUGCUGCUGGUAUUGCAAAUGCAUCCCACCACACCUGGCUUUUUAUGUCUUUGACGAGAAUUUGGGGAUCUGAGCUUAUCCCAGAUUUUUGACAUUACCCUCUCAGCUUUCAACUUGAGUGGCGGUGACUCCCAGGUUUCACAUCAGGUAGCUGAGUCUUAAGUUUUGGCUUUUGUGAGCAAGGGGUUUCCAAACCACCUGGGCUAAGGUGUAAUCCUGCCUUUAGGCAUCAAGUGUUAAAUCUUAUAUGGGCUUCAGUAUUAGAUUCAGUGGUUCAAGGUAUAUUCAGAAACUUCUAAUCGUGUUACAUUGCUCAGUCUUUAUCUUGCAGCAGGGCCCUCAGGUGAAUAUUGAUUUACUUUUCCGUUUAACAAACUAGUAGUUUAGUAGACAAAACAAAUGAGGAUUUGGAGUAUAGUGUAACAAGGAAAGGCAGAGUAUAGUCUUGGAAUACUUCUGUCUGUGCUGUUGGGCAGUGUUUGUGAAGGACUUGGUCUAUUCCUUGGGUUCUAUGGACUAUUCUACAUGAAUAUCUUCCCCCUUCCAAAAUUCAGUUAUAGAAUCUUUUACAAUUCUGUUACUGUGUAUAGGUAUUCUGCUUGCGAGCAUGUCUUGUACCAUGUAUGAGCAUUACCUUAGAGACUGGAAGAGGGUGUGUUGGUUGGCAACAACCUGUGUUGGGGGGCUGAGAAAACCAGAGUCCUCUAGAAGAGCUCUUAAUUGACCAGCCAUCUUUCUGGUCCCUAGUGAUAUAUAUUUUUUUAUUAAAAAAUUAAUUUAUUUACUCAACACUAAGUGUUUUACAUCACCUAGUUUUGCCAUGAUCCUCAAGCUGCAGCAACCCCAGUGCUAGGAUUAUGUAUAGGUGUGCUCCACCACAUUCAACUUAGGGUAACUCUUUUUUUACCUUUGGUUAAGAAUGGGAAGAACAGUCAUUAGGCUGCCCUGCAAGUGUCAGUCCUCUUGCCACAGCCUUCCAAAUGCUGAGGUUGCCAGCAAGUAUCGCCAUAAUCAACUUUGAGAAAUUGAAAACUUCUAAAUAGUUGUAACAUGUUAGAUUUGAGUUUCUUGAUUCUAGGGCCUGCUAUGUAGCUCUGGCUGAUCUAAUACUUGCUGGGUGGAGUCCAGGCUGGCCUUGACCUUAGUGGCUUACAGUUCUUUACUUAGAAGCAUUGACUUUGCUCUCUAGUGGAUUUAUAAGAAGUUGAUUUUGUUGCUGAGCCCAGUGGUGCAUGUAUACUUACUCUGAUCCCAGCUACUCAGGAGUCUGGUGUGGGAGGAUCACUUGAACUCUGUAGUUCAAAAUGAGUCUGGGCAGUGUUGCAAGUCCUUGUUUUUAAAUUUUGGAUUUGAUAAAUAAAUGUUUGUAUUCAAGUUGUACAAAGUC